UACGGAGGGAGCUAGCGUUAUUCGGAAUUACUGGGCGUAAAGCGCACGUAGGCGGCUUUGUAAGUAAGAGGUGAAAGCCCAGAGCUCAACUCUGGAAUUGCCUUUUAGACUGCAUCGCUUGAAUCAUGGAGAGGUCAGUGGAAUUCCGAGUGUAGAGGCUGAAAUUCGUAGAUAUUCGGAAGAACACCAACGGCGAAAGCACUCUGCUGGCCGACACUGA
rnacentral:rRNA from 1 species